ACCUUUAUCCCAGUCCACAGAUGGAAUCUGGGGAGAGGGGGGUGGAGUGGAGGGAAGAGAGGAGAGGAGAGAAGAGGAUGAGGAGGAGGAAAAGAAGAAGAAGAAGAAGAAGAAGAAGAAGAAGAAGAAGAAGAAGAACUUCUUCUUCUUCUUCUUCUUCUUCUUCUUCUUCUUCUUUUUCCUCUCUCUCUCUCUCUCUCUCUCUCUCUCUCUCUCUCUCUCUCUCUCUCUCUCUCUCUCUCUUCCUUCUUCCUUUUCCUCUCCUCUCCCAUCAUAAUGGCUUUAUGGUAGCUA
rnacentral:sRNA from 1 species